UUACUGUGCAACUCUGAUUUCGGGAAACCAACAGUUGGGAUAAGUAACGCGUAUCAGUUCAGACAUUGGCAUAUACAUAUGUAUAUACAUAUGUUAGAUUUCUGGUUGUCAUUUGUGUAUCACCAAUAACACCGCCGGUUAAUUGGCUCAUAGGCUGCAAAGGUCCCAUUAAUGGCACAGCAGAUGAAAACAGCUGCAAUAUGGCUGCUAUUAUGGCUUCAAAGUACUGCCGGUGUUCUGGGUGAGCGGACGCGUGAGAAAAUGUAUGAGCCGAUUCUGGGCGCCAGUUGUUUCCGACGCUUGAACGGCACCCAUCAGACAGGAUGCUCAUCGACAUUUUCAGGAUCCGUGGGCGUAUUGCACCUGAUAAACACUGAUGCAGAUUUGGAAUUUUUGCUCAACAGUCCCCCCUCUCCGCCGUAUGCUCCACUGAUACCACCUCAUUUGUUUACGAGGACAAACCUGUUACGCCUCAAGAAUGCUGGCCCUAAAACAAUAUCUGUUGUGCUGCUAAUAAACAGAUCAAAAAGAAUGACGCAGUUUUCGCAUGAACUCAACUGUCCCAAUCAGUACAGUGGACUCAAAUUAAACAACAGCACAGAGACAGUCACCUGUGAUGCAAGCAAUGUAGCCAAUACCUGGAAUCGCUGGGGCACUGGUCUUCUGCACGAGGACUUUCCGUUUCCCAUUUACUAUAUAGCCGAUCCUGAGGAAAUCGACAAGCUGGAGGAGUGCUUCAACAAAUUUAACAACUUUGACUACGAAUCGCAUUCAUUACGUAGCUUAUGCGCUGUGGAAAUCAAGUCCUUUAUGUCAGCAGCUGUUAACUCUGAAGUGUGCAUGCGGCGGACGAAUUUCAUAAACAACCUUGGAGGUAGUAAAUAUUGCGAUCCCUUGGAGGGCCGGAAUGUGUAUGCAACAUUGUACCCGCGUACACCAACUGAAAGCUUCGAUGUUGAUGCUACAGAAAAGUUUAUUAUAGUAUCAUGCCGCCUGGACACUACAAGCAUGUUCGAUGGACUGGGGUUGGGCGCCAUGGAUUCGCUGCAGAGUCUGGCCAUUCUUACCCAGGUGGCGCAUAUGCUCCACAAACUAUUGCCUUCUGCGAACUCGCAGCCUGAUCCAAAACGUAAUGUGCUGUUUCUGGCAUUCAAUGGCGAGUCCUAUGACUACAUUGGCUCGCAGCGACUCGUUUACGAUAUGGAAACCUUGGCCUUUCCUUCCCGCUCCACACGCACAACGCCCAUUUCGUUUGAGAACAUCGAGUUUAUGCUAGACAUUGGCACCCUCGACGAUAUAGGCAACAUAAAGCUGCAUACACUUACCUCGACGCCGCCCGCUCAGCAACUGCUGCAAAAGCUUAACCAAUAUGCUAAAUCAUCCCGAUAUGGUUUUAAUGUGAACAUCGAAUCAAACGUGGGCUAUAACAUACCACCCACAUCAGCGCAAUCGUUUUUGCGGCGCGACCAAAAGUUCCCGGCCUUGAUUUUAAACGCUGCGCCUAACAAUAGAUACUAUCACUCCAUAUAUGAUGAUAUUGAUAAUGUCGAUUAUGUCUAUGCCAACACCAGCCAAGAUUACACAAAGCUGGCUGAUGUGAACGAUGCCAAAAACAUCAGCUGGAGCUCUUUGCAAAUGAAGGUGCGCAACGUGUCCUCCAUUGUGGCAAUGGCGCUUUACGAGACUUUAACGGGUAAACAGUACCAAGGAAAUCAAGUGGCCAAUCCACUGUUGGCAGAUGAAUUCUUCUACUGCUUUCUGAUGUCCUCGGACUGUCCACUUUUCAAAGCUUCCUCAUACCCGAACAGUCCAGCAGGUGUGCCGUUGCCGCCAAUGCGAUACAUAAGUGUGCUGGGUGGCUCUCAGGAAUCAUCGGGUUGGACGUAUCGUCUAUUCGGCUAUCUGCUGUCGCACCAAGAGCCGAGUGUGCCAAAGGAGAAUUGCACUCAACUGCCACUGUUCUAUUUUGCUAGUCUGAAUGGCACUGGAGAGUGUCGUUGUACAACGCAGAACUAUACACAUGCAUUAAGUCCUGCAUUUCUCAUUGAAGACUACGAUUGGCGUUCAGGGCAAUAUUCAACGUGGACUGAGUCAACUUGGUCGCAAUUCAGCGCCCGAAUCUUCUUACGUCCGUCCCAUGUGCAUGAAGUCACAAUUUUAAGCAUUGGCAUUGUGGUGUUUAUAAUUUCGUUCUGUUUGAUAUAUAUUAUCAGUUCGCGGUGGGAAGUGCUCUUUGAGGAUUUGCCUGCUAGCAAUGCGGCGUAAGUUUAUCAGCAUAGUUAUCUCGUUACGCCUCUCAUUACACAUCUGACACAUCUCAGUAGCCUUAGCGGCUAAGUGGAUUGGCUCAUAUCUCAUUUAGCAAACUCUUUUUUAUUAUUUAAUUGAUGAUUGAUGUUAUUGAAGUUGGCCCUGCAGCAAAAGCAACCUGAACGCAUUCAUAACUGAACUUUCAUCUGUGCAUGCAAUUCUCAAUUCAAUAUAAUUAGUGGCUCUAUAGAAAUGUAUAAAUAACCUUAUUUGAAUUGCAAUUCUAGACUGCCAAUGCCAACUGCUUGUUAGGAGCAGGAUAUUCGGGAAGCUCCACUUGUUAACUUAUAAAAGACAAAUCUAAAAAAAACACCAAUUACUUCAUAAUAAUAAACUAUAACGAUGAAGUAAUACCCAAGACAAAACCUCUUACUAAUAGACUAUUGAUAUUCUAAUUGUUUACUUUAAGUAUUCGAAAAACAUAUUUAUUUAUAUACAUUUUUGUACUACAAAACACGUAAUAAGCUACUAGUGUGUAUUUAUAACAUAAGCAAUUAAGUGUCGUCGUUUGCUUUAUAUAAGAAUAAAUAGCAAUAAACAAUUAUAUUGAGCUAAUUGGUCUGACCACUAUAGUAGUCAGCACCUAAUUCAAAUGGAA